GCAAGUCGAACGAACUCUGGUAUUGAUUGGUGCUUGCAUCAUGAUUUACAUUUGAGUGAGUGGCGAACUGGUGAGUAACACGUGGGAAACCUGCCCAGAAGCGGGGGAUAACACCUGGAAACAGAUGCUAAUACCGCAUAACAACUUGGACCGCAUGGUCCGAGUUUGAAAGAUGGCUUCGGCUAUCACUUUUGGAUGGUCCCGCGGCGUAUUAGCUAGAUGGUGAGGUAACGGCUCACCAUGGCAAUGAUACGUAGCCGACCUGAGAGGGUAAUCGGCCACAUUGGGACUGAGACACGGCCCAAACUCCUACGGGAGGCAGCAGUAGGGAAUCUUCCACAAUGGACGAAAGUCUGAUGGAGCAACGCCGCGUGAGUGAAGAAGGGUUUCGGCUCGUAAAACUCUGUUGUUAAAGAAGAACAUAUCUGAGAGUAACUGUUCAGGUAUUGACGGUAUUUAACCAGAAAGCCACGGCUAACUACGUGCCAGCAGCCGCGGUAAUACGUAGGUGGCAAGCGUUGUCCGGAUUUAUUGGGCGUAAAGCGAGCGCAGGCGGUUUUUUAAGUCUGAUGUGAAAGCCUUCGGCUCAACCGAAGAAGUGCAUCGGAAACUGGGAAACUUGAGUGCAGAAGAGGACAGUGGAACUCCAUGUGUAGCGGUGAAAUGCGUAGAUAUAUGGAAGAACACCAGUGGCGAAGGCGGCUGUCUGGUCUGUAACUGACGCUGAGGCUCGAAAGUAUGGGUAGCAAACAGGAUUAGAUACCCUGGUAGUCCAUACCGUAAACGAUGAAUGCUAAGUGUUGGAGGGUUUCCGCCCUUCAGUGCUGCAGCUAACGCAUUAAGCAUUCCGCCUGGGGAGUACGGCCGCAAGGCUGAAACUCAAAGGAAUUGACGGGGGCCCGCACAAGCGGUGGAGCAUGUGGUUUAAUUCGAAGCUACGCGAAGAACCUUACCAGGUCUUGACAUACUAUGCAAAUCUAAGAGAUUAGACGUUCCCUUCGGGGACAUGGAUACAGGUGGUGCAUGGUUGUCGUCAGCUCGUGUCGUGAGAUGUUGGGUUAAGUCCCGCAACGAGCGCAACCCUUAUUAUCAGUUGCCAGCAUUAAGUUGGGCACUCUGGUGAGACUGCCGGUGACAAACCGGAGGAAGGUGGGGAUGACGUCAAAUCAUCAUGCCCCUUAUGACCUGGGCUACACACGUGCUACAAUGGAUGGUACAACGAGUUGCGAACUCGCGAGAGUAAGCUAAUCUCUUAAAGCCAUUCUCAGUUCGGAUUGUAGGCUGCAACUCGCCUACAUGAAGUCGGAAUCGCUAGUAAUCGCGGAUCAGCAUGCCGCGGUGAAUACGUUCCCGGGCCUUGUACACACCGCCCGUCACACCAUGAGAGUUUGUAACACCCAAAGUCGGUGGGGUAACCUUUUAGGAACCAGCCGCCUAAGGUGGGACAGAUG
rnacentral:rRNA from 2 species